rnacentral:rRNA from 3 species
GAUGGCAGAGAGGUCACACCCGUUCCCAUACCGAACACGGAAGUUAAGCUCUCUAGCGCCGAUGGUAGUUGGGACCUUGUCCCUGUGAGAGUAGGACGUUGCC